GACGAUUUCCGGAUGAUAAAAGUCGCUUAUAUUGACCAUGGGUCCCAGCUUGCGUGAUCGAUGGGUACCCGUAAACGACCAAGUUUCCAUCAUGCUGCGCAAUACUACCAUGUACCAUCAUAUAGAGUUCCUCUCGGAUGUACCGGUCGUUUUGUGCGUUCUAUCGGGGGCUUUGCGUACCUAGAGCACUUGCCUUGGCACCCUUAACGGCGAUGCAGAUGCAGCAUAGAGACAGAACGGCAUUGCCAGACUACAUAGUGGAUCGAUUCGAGGCGUGGUCCGUUCCGCACGGCAUCGGAGAACACAAGCAUUCGGGGAGUCUGCAAGCUGCGCAGACAGACGUCCCGCCUGUGGAGCGCGCAGCGAUAUACUGGGAUACUUCGGCGACCAAGCCGACGCCUAGAUGCAGUUUACGCGCUCCUGGUCCCAGGAUCAAGUGCAUUGCGGGCGAUUUGCUCAGGCCUCGCAACAGCACCGGGCACUGGGGGAGCAUGAAGCACCAGCCCGGGAGAGACGUCCGGCUCGCGGGACCUGCCGCCUGUGAGGUAGACUUUCGACACUUCGGAAACGAUUUCCCGUUUUAGCGCUUAUCGUAGCGAGGAUCGAAAUUGUUAUCGAGUUGCCAUGUAGUGCCUAGUCUCCGUUCCUCGUUCUAGAUAGUUCGGUCGAUACGCCAGCCUCCAUAUCUGGGAGGCAUGAGAUACGAUGCGUCUAUCGCCGUUGAAGGGAAACGCGAUCCUGAUCAUUAGCGUGUGGCUGUAACGUAGGCGGUCCAUUUGCGUUGAAGUCAUAGCAAAGUAUAGUCUUUCGUCUCAAUCGUAUUUCAACCCUCACGGAAGUCUAUUCAGGCGAUUUUUCGCGGUUUAUAGCAUACGCGCUCAAACUGGGUUCGAUUUUAAAAAAAUAAAGAUAUGGACAUUCAAGUCGGGUAUCCUUCGGGGCCGCCAGUACCCGCUGCCGGGAGUGAACGAUCAAUACCAUAUUCGCCGACCAUCAAUCGAAAUAGAGCAAAUGACGAAGAAGAACAGGGAAAAUAGAAGAGAAAAAGCGCUCGCCCGGCGGGCCGAUGACGACACUGUUGUGGCACACUGGGCACGAGUACUAGGAAUCCUCGCGAUCCUGAGUACAAGCGGCGGCAAGAAACGCAGUGAGUUCGUGAACCGAGACGUUAACGCCGCUCUUAAUAUCAGACAAUGUGCGAUGCUGUAGACGAGAUCCGCGGUGCUGACGCAAGUGAAUUUUGUGGGACAACCUCUUCAUUCCGAAGUGUGCAAGGAGAAGCUGAGGCUGAUAGCAGGGGGCCGGUCGAAAAGGCUGGGAGGCGUCUGCACGUCGGUGUAUAGACAAACACGCUCUCGUUGCGAUGCUCUGAACAAUAGAAAUGCAGGCGUGGGCGUUCGAAACAAGUGCCGCUGGUAACGAUGGACGCCUGAGAAGCUUCGAGGCAGGGUUUCAAGCACGCUUUUUUAUCUGGUCAAAUAUGUGAGCGAGUUUUGUGCGGGCCCAGUCUGGAGCGGAAUUCAAUGGUACGUAGCGGCUGCAGGUGAAGUCGAACUAGUCGUCGGUCGACGGCGCUUCCAUCGAGUGAGCAUAGACGAUGAACCCAAUACGUGGCUUUUUGAGCUGUGGCUGACGCGACACGAGCCUCCACGAGUGAACAAUAUGUCUCGGUAUGACUCUCGAACGGAUUUUGCAAUCGUUUUUCCCUAGGUCGACGGCGAGGGUACGGUAAGGCAGCAUCCCUGCAUUUGCGAGGAUGCAUAGGAAUGGGUCCUCUGACUCGAGCGUGCACGCUAACGUUUCGGGGGUUUCCCGCUGCUAUCGCCUGCGGCCUUCCAGGGCUUUUCCUGUGACUGAUGUCAUGUCCCCUUUCGUAUCCCGUGCCUGAAACACCCAGUGCGCUGCGUUCCCAUCGGUUACGCUGUCUGCAAUCGAUGGAUGUUGUUGGCAGGUUUGCAACCCGAAAUUCGUAGUUGCUGGCCAUAGUCAACACACUCCGUGCAUAGACGGUAGUUUCGAUCAACGUUGCGCAUGUCACUUUCAUCUUGUCGUUUGGAUACUGUCUGUGUGCGCCCUUCGCAUUUGUCGCACCUGCGUAUGGUCAGGUGGUCCCGUAUGUCCACCACAACUUCUGCGCCUCCUCCGGAGACCGAACUGUGCCACACGGCCGCCUCACUUGUUGCUCCGUAGAUGCUCUUGAUGGGUAUUGAAGGCUCCUCGCGACGCGUUCUUCGGUUUCCACAACUGCUGCUUAACCCAAGGAUCACGAGCUUCAGCCAGGCGAUCCGCCCUGCAUGUACGCUGUCCGACGCACACAAAAGCGCACGCUGCUCUGUUCAGAACAGGAUUUCUGUAACAUGAUGUUGUCCACGAUGUACCAAGUACCGGAAGGAGAAUCUAGGCUCGAGAUCAAGUCCCAAAAUUUUGAUCCUUCCAUGGUCACUUCGGGCAAAGCGAAGACACAUACGCCCCUGAUAUUCGUCGCUCUGAUGAAUUAGGUGCGAAUCUGUGACCCUUUUGCAUCCAAGCAGGAGAAACGGUAGUCUCUGGGAGCAUAUCGCAUGAGGCAAAUCAUGCUGCUGUGGAUUGCCGUUUUGUACACGGACGCACAGAUAGAAGGGUUUGUACUCGGAACAGAAUCAAUUAUUUGGCGUGACAAGUUCAGUAAACGUUCGGCAUGAGCGUGUGAACGACGCAUCAAGCAACAUUA